rnacentral:rRNA from 1 species
GAUUAACGCUGGCGGCGUGCAUGAGACGUGCAAGUCGAACGGGUGACUCGGGCUUGCUCGAGUCGCUAGUGGCAAACGGCUGAGUAACACGUAGGUGACCUGCCCCGAAGUGGGGAAUAACUGCCCGAAAGGGUGGCUAAUACCGCAUGUGGUCGCACGUUCGGUCGUGCGAGUAAAGCCGCAAGGCGCUUCGGGAGGGGCCUGCGUCCGAUUAGCUCGUUGGUGGGGUAAUGGCUCACCAAGGCGACGAUCGGUAGGUGGUCUGAGAGGACGAUCACCCAGACUGGGACUGAGACACGGCCCAGACUCCUACGGGAGGCAGCAGUCGGGAAUCUUGCUCAAUGGGCGAAAGCCUGAAGCAGCAACGCCGCGUGAGGGAUGAAGGCCUUCGGGUUGUAAACCUCUUUUCUCAGGGACGAUGAUGACGGUACCUGAGGAAUAAGCCACGGCAAACUACGUGCCAGCCGCCGCGGUAAUAC